rnacentral:rRNA from 2 species
UACGUAUGGUGCAAGCGUUAUCCGGAUUUACUGGGUGUAAAGGGAGCGCAGGCGGUACGGCAAGUCUGAUGUGAAAGCCCGGGGCUCAACCCCGGUACUGCAUUGGAAACUGUCGGACUAGAGUGUCGGAGGGGUAAGUGGAAUUCCUAGUGUAGCGGUGAAAUGCGUAGAUAUUAGGAGGAACACCAGUGGCGAAGGCGGCUUACUGGACGAUUACUGACGCUGAGGCUCGAAAGCGUGGGGAGCAAACAGG